rnacentral:rRNA from 1 species
GGAGGAAGCCACUUCGGUGGCAGGAAGACAGGUGGUGCAUGGUUGUCGUCAGCUCGUGUCGUGAGAUGUUGGGUUAAGUCCCGCAACGAGCGCAACCCUUAUUGUUAGUUGCUACCAUUUAGUUGAGCACUCUAGCGAGACUGCCCGGGUUAACCGGGAGGAAGGUGGGGAUGACGUCAAAUCAUCAUGCCCCUUAUGUCUAGGGCUACACACGUGCUACAAUGGUCGGUACAAUGAGAUGCAACCUCGCGAGAGUGAGCAAAACUAUAAAACCGAUCUCAGUUCGGAUUGUAGGCUGAAACUCGCCUACAUGAAGCUGGAGUUGCUAGUAAUCGCGAAUCAGAAUGUCGCGGUGAAUACGUUCCCGGGAAUCGAAUUCCCGC